CCCCUAUGUUCUAAUUUUAGCCAUGGCGGCCAUCUUGGUUGGUUGGUUGGCCUGGUCACUAGACACAUUUUUCAAACUAGAUACCCUAAUGAUGAUUGUGGCUAACCUUGGUUUAAAUUGGCCCAGUAGUUUUAGAGAAGAAGAUUUUUGUAAAAGAUUACCAAGAUUUACGAAAAAUGGUUAAAAAUUUACUAUAAAGGGUAAUAACUCCUAUAGGGGUCAACUGACCAUUUUGUUCAUGUUUACCUAUUUGUCAUUAGACGCCAAGUGAUGAGAAAAGCUCACUCGGACCUUCAGGCCAGGUGAACUAAAA
rnacentral:lncRNA from 1 species